GGAGAGAUGUCCGAGUGGUUUAAGGAGAAGGUCUUGAAAACCUUUGUGGCAGCAAUGUCACCGUGAGUUCGAAUCUCACUCUCUCCGCUA
rnacentral:tRNA from 1 species